GACGAACGCUGGCGGCGUGCUUAACGCAUGCAAGUCGAACGAUGAACCCGGAGCUUGCUCCGGCGGAUUAGUGGCGAACGGGUGAGUAACACGUGAGUAACCUGCCCUUGACUCUGGGAUAACUGCUAGAAAUGGUAGCUAAUACCGGAUACGACCCUCGGUGGCAUCACCAGGGGGUGGAAAGAAUUUCGGUCAAGGAUGGACUCGCGGCCUAUCAGCUAGCUGGUGAGGUAACGGCUCGCCAAGGCGACGACGGGUAGCCGGCCUGAGAGGGUGACCGGCCACACUGGGACUGGGACACGGCCCAGACUCCUACGGGAGGCAGCAGUGGGGAAUAUGGCACAAUGGGCGCAAGCCUGAUGCAGCGACGCCGCGUGAGGGAUGACGGCCUUCGGGUUGUAAACCUCUUUUAGUAGGGAAGAAGCGAAAGUGACGGUACCUGCAGAAAAAGCACCGGCUAACUACGUGCCAGCCGCCGCGGUAA
rnacentral:rRNA from 1 species